UCCGAAUUGGUGUAGUGGCUAACAUCGUCGUCUCUCACACGACAGCCAGGGGUUCGAUUCCCCUAUUCGGAG
rfam:Penicillium brasilianum genome assembly, contig: SCAF4